rnacentral:rRNA from 1 species
GACGAACGCUGGCGGCGUGCUUAACACAUGCAAGUCGAACGGAAAGGCCCUGCUUUUGUGGGGUGCUCGAGUGGCGAACGGGUGAGUAACACGUGAGUAACCUGCCCUUGACUUUGGGAUAACUUCGGGAAACUGGGGCUAAUACCGGAUAGGAGCUCCUGCUGCAUGGUGGGGGUUGGAAAGUUUCGGCGGUUGGGGAUGGACUCGCGGCUUAUCAGCUUGUUGGUGGGGUAGUGGCUUACCAAGGCUUUGACGGGUAGCCGGCCUGAGAGGGUGACCGGCCACAUUGGGACUGAGAUACGGCCCAGACUGCUACGGGAGGAAGCAGUGGGGAAUAGUGCAAGAAGGGCGGAAGCCGGGAGCAGCAACGCCGGGUGCGGGAUGACGGCCGUAGGGGUGGAAACCGCUUUAGCCUGUGACGAAGAGUGAGUGACGGUAAUGGGUAAAGAAGCACCGGCUAACUACGUG